AGAGUUUGAUCCUGGCUCGGACGAACGCUGGCGGCGUGCCUAAUACAUGCAAGUCGAGCGGACAGAUGGGAGCUGAUGUUAGCGGCGGACGGGUGAGUAACACGUGGGUAACCUGCCUGUAAGACUGGGAUAACUCCGGGAAACCGGGGCUAAUACCGGAUGGUUGUCUGAACCGCAUGGUUCAGACAUAUGGCUUCGGCUACCACUUACAGAUGGACCCGCGGCUUGGUGAGGUAACGGCUCACCAAGGCGACGAUGCGUAGCCGACCUGAGAGGGUGAUCGGCCACACUGGGACUGAGACACGGCCCAGACUCCUACGGGAGGCAGCAGUAGGGAAUCUUCCGCAAUGGACAAAGUCUGACGGAGCAACGCCGCGUGAAGGUUUUCGGAUCCUCUGUUGUUAGGGAAGAACAAGUGCCGUUCAAAUAGGGCGGCACCUUGACGGUACCUAACCAGAAAGCCACGGCUAACUACGUUAAUACGUAGGUGGCAAGCGUUGUCCGGAAUUAUUGGGCGUAAAGGGCUCGCAGGCGGUUUCUUAAGUCUGAUGUGAAAGCCCCCGGCUCAACCGGGGAGGGUCAUUGGAAACUGGGGAACUUGAGUGCAGAAGAGGUUCCACGUGUAGCGGUGAAAUGCGUAGAGAUGUGGAGGAACACCAGUGGCGAAGGCGACUCUCUGGUCUGCAACUGACGCUGAGGAGCGAAAGCGUGGGGAGCGGGAUUAGAUACCCUGGUAGUCAGUGCUAAGUGUUAGGGGGUUUCCGCCCCUUAGUGCUGCAGCUAACGCAUUAAGCACUCCGCCUGGGGAGUACGGUCGCAAGACUGAAACUCAAAGGAAGCCCGCACAAGCGGUGGAGCAUGUGGUUUAAUUCGAAGCAACGCGAAGAACCUUACCAGGUCUUGACAUCCUCUGACAAUCCUAGAGAUAGGGCGUCCCCUUCGGGGGACAGGUGGUGCAUGGUUGUCGUCAGCUCGUGUCGUGAGAUGUUGGGUUAAGUCCCGCAACGAGCGCAACCCUAGUUGCCAGCAUUCAGUUGGGCACUCGGUGACAAACCGGAGGAAGGUGGGGAUGACGUCAAAUCAUCAUGCCCCUUAUGACCUGGGCUACACACGUGCUACAAUGGACAGAACAAAGGGCAGCGAAACCGCGAGGUUAAGCCAAUCCCACAAAUCUGUUCUCGUCUGCAACUCGACUGCGUGAAGCUGGAAUCGCUAGUAAUCGCGGAUCAGCAUGCCGCGGUGGUUCCCGGGCCUUGUACACACCGCCCGUCACACCACGAGAGCGAAGUCGGUGAGGUAACCUUUAUGGAGCCAGCCGCCGAAGGUGGGACAGAUGAUUGGGGUGAAGUCGU
rnacentral:rRNA from 1 species